rnacentral:rRNA from 1 species
ACUCCUACGGGAGGCAGCAGUGGGGAAUAUUGCACAAUGGGGGAAACCCUGAUGCAGCCAUGCCGCGUGUGUGAAGAAGGCCUUCGGGUUGUAAAGCACUUUCAGUAGGGAGGAAGGUAGUGUAGUUAACACCUGCACUAUUUGACGUUACCUACAGAAGAAGCACCGGCUAACUCCGUGCCAGCAGCCGCGGUAAUACGGAGGGUGCGAGCGUUAAUCGGAAUUACUGGGCGUAAAGCGCAUGCAGGCGGCCUGUUAAGUCAGAUGUGAAAGCCCGGGGCUUAACCUCGGAAUUGCAUUUGAAACUGGCAGGCUAGAGUCUUGUAGAGGGGGGUAGAAUUUCAGGUGUAGCGGUGAAAUGCGUAAAGAUCUGAAGGAAUACCAGUGGCGAAGGCGGCCCCCUGGACAAAGACUGACGCUCAGAUGCGAAAGCGUGGGGAGCAAACAGGAUUAGAUACCCUGGUAGCACAGGAGUCGUGGGAACAAGGCACACAGGGGGAUA